GAAAGAUGGCUUUAGCUAUCACUCUGGGAUGGACCUGCGGUGCAUUAGCUAGUUGGUAAGGUAACGGCUUACCAAGGCGAUGAUGCAUAGCCGAGUUGAGAGACUGAUCGGCCACAAUGGAACUGAGACACGGUCCAUACUCCUACGGGAGGCAGCAGUAGGGAAUCUUCCACAAUGGGCGCAAGCCUGAUGGAGCAACACCGCGUGAGUGGAGAAGGGUUUCGGCUCGUAAAGCUCUGUUGUUGGAGAAGAACGUGCGUGAGAGUAACUGUUCGCGCAGUGACGGUAUCCAACCAGAAAGUCACGGCUAACUACGUGCCAGCAGCCGCGGUAAUACGUAGGUGGCAAGCGUUAUCCGGAUUUAUUGGGCGUAAAGCGAGCGCAGGCGGUUGCUUAGGUCUGAUGUGAAAGCCUUCGGCUUAACCGAAGAAGUGCAUCGGAAACCGGGCAACUUGAGUGCAGAAGAGGACAGUGGAACUCCAUGUGUAGCGGUGGAAUGCGUAGAUAUAUGGAAGAACACCAGUGGCGAAGGCGGCUGUCUGGUCUGCAACUGACGCUGAGGCUCGAAAGCAUGGGUAGCGAACAGGAUUAGAUACCCUGGUAGUCCAUGCCGUAAACGAUGAGUGCUAGGUGUUGGAGGGUUUCCGCCCUUCA
rnacentral:rRNA from 1 species